rnacentral:misc_RNA from 1 species
AUUUUUUGAUUAUUUUAUAAAAGAAUUUUUUAUUUAUACUUUAAUGCCAACUAUUUUAUUUAAAGUAUAAUUUACAUUAUAUUCAAUUUAAGCAUUUUAAACUACCUUAGUUAACCUAAAAACAACUCCAUAUCCAUAAAUAUCCCAAAUGUAACUCGUUGCCUUUCCACAACUUUUCGGUUAUAAAUUUUCACAAGUGAAGAUGCCCUAGCUGUCUCACAAGGCCUGUAAUACCAAAACCUAGCUUUCAAAAUAGAAAUCUGCCAUGCGAUGAGAAAGUUUGCGAGGCGAUUUUACUUAAGUACAAUAUGUGCAAUAAGUGAACAAAACACAAAUAUAAAGUUAGAAAUUAUUUAUUGAUAAGAAACCCUCGUAGGACGGCAGACAUGAUUUCUUUUACGAGCAUGAGCUUCAUUAUGGUGUUGGGUACGACAUGCAUAUCCAUACCAGCAAUCUUCCCUGUUAAUUGCAUCAGCUGGUAGAAACUAUAAAGCACAAAUACCACAAAUAUUUAUUAGAACCAACCGAUGAGUAUUACAUACGCAGACAUUCUCAAUCUACCAUGCAUGAACACAAUGAGAUAGCAAAUCUGCUAUAUUUUAACAAAUUUUCUUUGCAAGUGCUGAAAAUAAUGCCAUCAAUAGUCCUAAAUUUGAAUAUCCAAAAAAACAUUCCAUCGUACUAAGAUAAUACUCAUGUAGACUGAACAUUCUAAUGCUACAUUUGGUAGGUCAUGUUGCAACGUAAUGCAAUUAAAUUUUCUAUUGAUUUCAAUUGAAAAUUUGAUGGCAUUACAACCUACCAAACGUAGCCUAAUUUCAUAAUAAUCAGGGUGCACCAAGAGAUACUGCUAUGCAAUUCAUAUUAAAUUAAUAUUUCAAUCUCAUGUAGUGCUUAUUUCAAAUUAUUUUAAUUGGUCUGAUGGAAUUUGCUUAAAUAGGAAAUCAUUUUUGAAAUAAUAAAAUACCCAAGUACAAGGCCAUUUUGGUCCUGCACAUCUUACUAGUGAAUUAAACAAUGCAAUAGAAAUGGAACAAAUUCCUAUUUGUAGAAAUACAAUCAAUGAUUGAAUAAACACAUUUUUUUUCCAAUAAUCGCACAAUUAGAAGUAAUUAUACUAAACUCUAAGACUGUUACAAUGAAAAAAAGGCACAGCAGCAGAACCUGUAGACGCUGACGAAAGUAAAGGAGAAAAUGAUUGAUGUUGGACCUUAAUUUUCCAUUCACACUAGAUUUGUUGAGCCCAAAAGAGACAAUAAUGUUAAUAUUUCCUCCCACUUUCCUUACCCCUCACUUUGUCUAUUUCCCAAACAAGGUAAAAUCAAUUUCCUUUCUUAUUUUCCCUGCUUUAUUUUCCUCUGUUCCCAACAUAGCAUUAGAGGAGGAUGGUGGGAUUUGAACCCUUAAACUCCAAUGCUACAAGGUAGCCAUUCAAUCAUUGGCUAGUAACUCAACAGCCCAAUGAUCCAUUGAACAUGUAAAUGAGAUGACCACUAUGCAAUACAAAGGUUAUACUUCUGUUCAUUGCCUCCUAGUAUUUUCCUUUUUUUGGGGUCAAAGCCACAGGCUAGCAUAUGAUAACCAACAAUCAAAUUCUGAAUAAUGUACCUUUCAAAUGACUAUUCUUUAUUGUCCGAAGGUCACAAAUUAAAAUGAGGAACAUAUAUCAGAUCUGAAACUGAAACUGAAACUUGGGGUAGUCCAAUCAUAUUGCUUGAAACUAACAAGACUUACAUGUCUGGGCAAUGAAACCCGAAACCAGUACAAGAGAAAGGAGACCAGUUUAUCAUAACAAUCAUUGCAAACAUGUGUUCCUGCAGUUAUCAUCUCAGCAUGAUUCAAUGGCAUUCUUGUCCGAUCAAUUUCUCCAUUGUUCAGCUUGCUAAUCCAAUCUGAGACAAUAUCUUGCAAUGUUUUUCCCAUCUGUCUGAUACACCUCGCAGUGAUAUCCUGUUCAUGCCGAUUCAUCUCAUGCGCCAAAAAUGGAAUCUGAGAGAUAGUGUGUUGAGAAACCGGUUUAAAAUUCUCAUUACCGCACACCAUUUGAGAGUUACUUCUGUGAACCCCUUGAGCAUGCCAAUAAGCACUGCAAAAUGCUCUAUCACAUCCCAAACAGUGUUGUGGUACAUUAAUAUCAGUUCUGGAAGGCAUCAUUCCUCCACAAGCUUGACAUUGCAAAUGGAUCAUGUGUUCACUGCAGUGAAAGCCACUAAAUUCUGUACCACAUUGAAGGCAUGGGAACUCCAUAUGUUCUUCUCCACUUUCCACAUCAUUUGUACGUGCCCGCUUCUUACCACUUUGAAUGACAAGAUUAGAUUUUAUUGAUGCAUAGGAAUCUAGAAGAGUAAUUUCUUCAUCUGAACGUUUUAAUGAAGAAUCAGCUUGAAGUAUAUCCUCCUCAAUGCUCUGCAGAAAGUGAUUUCUACCAACAAAAUGUACAGCUGCCCUACACUGAGGACAAAGCACAGUAGAUUGUUUCUCCUGUGAUCUCCUUAACCACUCUGAGAAACAUCCAUUGCAGAAGUUAUGAAGGCAAGGAGCAACAGUAACAACAUUAUGCCAGAUGUUUAAGCAGAUGCUACAUUUUGCAUGCUCAGCAUCUAUACAGAUCUUUAACUGCUGUUUGCAGGAUUCUGGAGGAGGCAUUACUUCAAAUCUGUAACUCAAAUAUCCAGAUGAUCCAGGUCCAGCCACCACUUGCACCGCCGUCCGUUGACCAGGUAAGUCGUCUUCUCCGUGUUCUUCUUCUUCUUCUCCGUUGUGCGAUGCGGCUGGUUUUUUAACCUAAUUAUUUUCCCUUUCUUGUAACAGAAGCUUUUCCGAGUCGGAUACGCGUUUUCAUCUUUCGAAAAUUUCGGAUACGGUCUCGAAACAUAUCUUAGCCGUAUCCUUCCGUUUCCGUUUCAUAAACGUUUUCAAAAUGCAAACACUCCAACCAUUGCCUUUUCCGUGCUUCAGAUAUGUCAAAC